CGCCGUCCACCGCUUCCUCGGCCUCCGCUCCCACUCCCGCUUGCCUCACUCUGUCGCCUCCCGUCGUCCGGUUCCCCGCCCUCGCCGGCUCGAUGGAGCCGGUCUACGCGGUUUGCUCGGGAGAUCUGGAGGGCCGCCACGAGGUCCACCGGCUCGGCAUACGGCUUUGAUAAGCGGUGCAUCGACCGGUGGGUCAAUAUCGG
rnacentral:misc_RNA from 1 species